UGAUAUCUAUAUCUGUGCAUGUGUGCGUAAGACGGUUGCGUUUCUGCUGUCCAACUGGACUGUGGGGUUGGGUUUAGGCUUUGGGGUUUCAGCAGGUGCCCGCUGGGGUCACGCCGCGUGUCUGGAGACGGCGAACGUGCAUUUAUUGGGAUCAAAUGUGUAAAUAUUGUCGCGUGUGGUGCGUCGGGCUGCUGUAUGUUGAGUGUGAAUGGAACAGCCAGGUGACGCUAAUGUGUGUAGGUGUGAGAGAGAAGGAUGCGCGCGCGCGUGUGUGUGUGUGAGGGAGAGAGGGAGAGAGAGAGAGGGAGAGAGAGAGAGAGAGAGAGAGAGAGAGAGGGAGAGAGACAGGAGGGCGGAGAACAGUGGGAUUUGGGGCUCGGACCGCCUCGCCGCUGUACGCGCACAGGGCGGCCUGUGGUAGAAACAGACAGAAACGAACCGGGCCUCCGGAGCGGACACCGCGCUCCCCCCGCACACCAGUGGGAUAAGAGGUCUGGAACAUCUUUGACCAAAACCUGUCAAAUGGAAACUUGCGUGGGCCAAGAGACUCUCUGGAAUCACAGGCCUGGCAAGAGGGAUAGUGGUUAGAGGAGGACAGGUUGUUGCCAUGGUAACAAAUUGUCAGAGUCAACCAGAGGGGAAACAAAUAAAGAGGGGUAUGUGAGAGGGAGGCA
rnacentral:lncRNA from 1 species